rnacentral:rRNA from 1 species
GACGAACGCUGGCGGCGUGCUUAACACAUGCAAGUCGAACGGAAAGGCCCUGCUUGCAGGGUACUCGAGUGGCGAACGGGUGAGUAACACGUGGGUGAUCUGCCCUGCACUUCGGGAUAAGCCUGGGAAACUGGGUCUAAUACCGGAUAGGAGCCAUUUUUAGUGUGAUGGUUGGAAAGUUUUUUCGGUGUAGGAUGAGCUCGCGGCCUAUCAGCUUGUUGGUGGGGUAAUGGCCUACCAAGGCGGCGACGGGUAGCCGGCCUGAGGGUGGACGGCCACAUUGGGACUGAGAUACGGCCCAGACUCCUACGGGAGGCAGCAGUGGGGAAUAUUGCACAAUGGGCGCAAGCCUGAUGCAGCGACGCCGCGUGGGGGAUGACGGCCUUCGGGUUGUAAACUCCUUUCGCUAGGGACGAAGCUUUUUGUGACGGUACCUAGAGAAGAAGCACCGGCUAACUACGUG